AAGAGUUCAAGCCCCAGCACAGGCAAAAAAAAAAAAAAUCAAUUUAAGAAAGAAAGCAAAUUGAUCAUACUUAUAUCUGUAGGAGGAAAUUUUUUUUAAAGUACUAGCCAGUAUUUUACACUUCAAGUAUUUGCUAGUACCUUUAAAGGAACAUUUUCUCCCCCAACCCCAGGGUAAGGGAACUCUGAAAAACAACAGUUGUGCAUUUAAAGAGCAUGAUCAGUUCAUCAAAACUAGGACAUGGGCUGAAUAUAGAAUGCAGUGGUAAAGAUAUGUCAAAGCAAGGAAAACAGACCAUUCAUGGUGAUUAGAAAUUCAAGAGAUUUCCCUGUACUCAGAAAUGAUACAUAGCAGCUUAGGAUCAGUUAGAAUCUUUUUUUGCUUUAUGAAUUUGAUGCACAUUCUUCCAGAAAAUAAGUAGAAUAAAAAUCAACAAAAAACAUCACACCUCAAACCUUAUAUGCUGCAUUGUGUAAUAAUGAUAGUAAUAUUAUAUUGAUUGUUUGGAGUCUUCUGUGUCUGUUUGCAAAUAUUCAUGCACAUUAAAACUUUCAUUUUUAUAAUGUCUUAAUAGCAGUUAUGCAUUCAUUUUUAAGAUUAAUUUUUCAAUUGAUAUUUAUAUUUAUUGGCAAUUUAUGUGCAACUUUUUAUAUUUUGCUUAGAUGUGGGUUUUUCAGGUAUUUUAUUUUUACAGAUAUUUCUAGCUUUUCCUCUUCCUUUGUAAUGUUAGUAAACAUUAAGAUUGUGUGUUAAUAUACCAUUCAAACAGCUGUUUGCCUUCUUACCAAUAAAUCAUUAACACUAUCCUCUUAGAAUUCAAUGUUGUUUGUAUAGUAGGUAUUGAAGACAGUUUUUAAACAGAUUUUCUGUAUGUGGAGGGGAAGUGGGCUUUCUAAAAUUACAUCUUUUCUUUUUUUUCCUUUAGUAGCAACUUAACACUAACAGAUUAAAUUUACUUUACUGGAUUGCAGUUUGGGGAGAAAGUUGUCAAGCGAAUGAUUUUUACAUGUCUUUUUCUAGUUUCAGGCACAUCAUUCAGGAUUGAGAUUAUGGUAUCUUCAUAGACAAGGGAAACAAGUGGCAAGUGAUUCAGAAGUCGUUGAUAACUGGCUUUGAAAUUAGUAUUCCCCUCCCCCUAUAAUUAUGUGGAAAAUGUGCUAAUCUAAAUUUUUCUCCGAGUAUCAGUGAAGAAAUAGGAGUUUAAAGGGGCUAAGAGAGCCAGGGUUCAUAGAUUGUUUCAGUUCAUUAAAAUUUUAGCCAAUAAUAAUUUAUGAAUGUGGACUGAAGUAAAUUAUACAAUAUUCCAGUUUCCUAGUGAGUAGAUCAAGAUUAGUUGUAUUGGCACAUUAAUUUCUUUUUAAAAAAAGUAUGUUUCCUUAAGGUAGUAUAUUUCCUUUUUUGAGUUUGAUAAGGAAUUUUUUUCUGAGAGAAAUUUCAAGAGAUAACUUUUACCCCAUCCUCUUGACUUUUAAAUUCCCAAUUAUUGGGGCUAAAUACAUACGACUUUACUGUACAAUAUUAGUAUUCGGUUCUUACAGUGUGAGAGAAGGAAAUGGAAAGUUUUAAAUAAGUAUUACGGGAAAAUGGCAUAUUAUCUAAAAUGUGACAAUUUAAAAUGAGUCAGCAUGUUGUUUCUUUCCACAUUUUUCCAGCUAUAUAAAUUUCUUUAUAAUAUACUGUUAUGAGUUAUUUCCUUUACCUCUACAUCAAGUACUCAUUGAAGAUUGGUACUCUGAUGAUAGAACUUUGUUAACUGUUGAGUAAAAACUAAGUUUUGAACAGAUUUUGUAUAUUUCUGCUAGCAUAUGUCCUACUUUUAGAGUACUUAUAACUUUUUUUUACUAAUACAUUUCAACAGUGUCCUAGAUUGACAGGCAUGUAAUUCUUGUAGACCAACAAUUUUAAUGAUGCCUCUAGUCCUAUUUUUCCUUUUUGUACCUGAAACCUCCUGGGAUACCUGGUACAGAGCUUAUUUUAAUGGUUGGCUCCAAAAUUUCCAAUGCCUGGCAUCAGUGCUGCCAAACACGGUGAGAGACUGAGUGGCCUGCCUAUGUGUACAGUCCACUUCUUCAGAAGGAAGUAACUGCAGUAAUCAGAUCAUCCCCCAAAGGAAAGGUCAACAGUCUCGGACGUAGAAAACAGACAGGAGAGCAGACCAUUAAACUUUUGCAUUCUUAUUUUCAGAAACUGUGUGCACGCCUGUAAUUUUAUCUUGGAAGUACUAAGAGGCUGCACCAGAGACUAGAGAAGAAAACACAUUAUUCUGGUAUCCUAUUAUAAUAUCUGAGAAUAGGAGGUCUUUGGAAAAAAAUAGACUGGUGGGAUGUGAGCAUGUGCAGUGAGUGAGAAAUGAGAAUAAGGUUCUUAGAACCAUGGCAUUGCUAUCAACGUAGCUCUUCCACUUUUCUCUUUCCUCUAGAAAACACUAAGCUGGACCUUUCUAGACAAGGCAGUCUUCCCAGUAAAGAAAAUGUUCUUGGUGAGGGGCUGGGAAUGAGAGCUUGCCUUGCAUGCGUGAAGCCCUGGGUUCGAUUCCUCAGCACCACAUAUAUAGAAAAUGGCCAGA